AAAGUAGAGGUGCCAAACUAUCGAUGGUGGGCCCCGUCGAUUGGGGACGAUAGUAGUUUCGAAACCAUCGAUAGCUGUCGAUAGUACCAUCGAUUGUGGUCGAUAGUCGCAAUAAAAAACUGCGAUUCUUAGCCUUCAAAAUUUGAGCACUUCAAUUUUGUGAAAUUCCAUUUUAAGAUAAAAGCUGAAUGGACUUAAAAGCUAAAACCUAAAAACUAUUAAGUUAUGGUUUUUAUUGUAGGGAUCGAUUUUUGUUGUCUGCAAAUAAGUGUCUUUCACACACACAAUAAAAAAGACAGAAAUUGUUUUUGUCGCGUAUGGUUUACCUCGCUCGCGCUCUGAGCGAGACAGUUAUUUCAGUUUUCGUUUCACUCAAGUCAAGCACUGAUCGUUUGCUUGAGUUAAAUGAAUUGAAAUAAUAAAUAAGAGGUUAAAGUUUUUGCAAUGCGUUGUCAUAAUACUUUUGUCCUCUAUUGUAUGUAUGUAUUUAAUACACACGAAGAUCAUUUCUGUUGAGUUUUUUGCUGAGAGUCUAUGUGUAAGCGAAAAUCGUAUUACUCUUUACGCGACACUCAUUUGAGAUCGUCACACCAAUGAGUCAAUCCGAAGCACUUGACCAAAACCGAUUCAAAACAAAACAAAGAGAGAGAGGGAUUUUGUCUGCACAAUCAUACCGGUUAUGAUAUGAAGCAGAGCAUAUUCGAAAAAACCGAUCAACCAUUAUUUGCAAGCUAUGAUACAAAAUUAAGAAAAAUUAUAAUUAUUAAUCACGCACUUUUGACGAUAUUAUCGUCCACUAUCGAGACAUUGAACCAUCGAUCGUUCAGUCGCUCGUUAGUGCCCGACCAUCGAUAGUGACGACAGUGCCAUCGAUAGUUUGGCACCUCUAAUCGAAAGUAGCCUGAUAACAGCCCGAAGAUAGCACUUCGGAGGUGUCAUCGGAGGUGCUCAAGAACUUUGUAGCGUUUGCAUAAUAGUUCCACACUGCAUUGUAGUUAGCCUAUUCAAGUGAGAAAUGGCUAGAAAUGAACAGUUGACCGUGUCCUUUGAUGUAUAAUUUUCAAUGGAUCAGGCUAGUGUUGAAAAUGUAAUUGAAUUUAGCAUUAACAUAAGCUGACAUGUAAUCCGGUAACCCCAUACAAAAAGUGUAACUGACAUUUCACACAGUUUAUACUGUACUCUAUAUUAAACCUUUAACCGAACCACAGCGUCUUUACUCCCUCGCUAGCAUUUCAUUGCCAAUAUUAACCCAGCACAUCCAACAUUGGUUAUGGGCUCAGGGUAACCGCUAUUCAGUUUAUUUGUUGCUGAGUGAUCAACAGUUAAUAUCGUGCGCGAAUUAACCAAGAGUUGCAUGCAAAAAACAUGUCGUACCAAAUUGAAAAGCUUGAAACUAACUACGGCGUGUAGCAUAUGGCCAUGGAAAGUAUAUUAGAGAUGGCCGACUUAUGGAAAGUUGCCUGUCAAAAAUAUGAAGAACACGAUGAUGCAGCAGCCGCAAAAUUGUACAAGGAUUGACAAGGCAAGAGCUUAUAUAACUUUAAACAUGAAGCCCUUUCAGCUAAUGCUUAUUAAAAAUUGCACAAAAGCCGAAGAAAUUUGGAAACAACUCAAGAAGUUGCACUUGCCAGUUUACCGAUUCAGAAAAAGCAAGCGUAUCAGAAGUUGAUUCAUUAAGCAUGCAACAAUUCAUUUGUUGGAAUAAUUGAAUAUAAUUCUAAACGACGAGUUAAAGAUAAUUAUGCUAUUUUACCUAAUGCAUGGGAAAGCUUUAUUAUAAGCAAUAGCUACGCGCGAUGAGCUGCCGAAAUAUGAUUCUGUAAAAAUCAAAUUAAUAAAAUAAGGCACCCGAAAGUCAGAGUAAGUCUAUACCCACACACAAGAAAAACCGAAAGAACAGCAUUGACAGUUUAACGGAAAGCGACUGUCAGUCAAAGAAAGCGAACGAAAAAAGGUACGACAGAAAGAGACAGAGCAAACAAACAGCAGGUUAAUGUACUGCUUUGCUGGAGAGCAGAAAAUAAACGUAUGUUGCGUAAACAGCGAAGCAAAAUCUCAUGUGUUGCGAUCGCAAUAUGUUUAUAAACUACGCUGAAAAGAAACGCCGAUAAUGGUGGCUGCAAUAGGAAUUGGAAACAUGAAAAUAAAAGUAGCGGACUGCAUAAUAAAUUUACAGAAUGUUUUACAUGUACCCGAACUCCAUAUGCAUUUUUUCUCAGUGAACGCAGCAGUUAAGUUUGAAAACUCCACAACAUUUAAAGGCAAAAUCUUGGUUAUUAAAAACGAACGAACGAAUUGUUAAUAAAAGCAAAUAAAGAAAUAAUCUGUAUGUGUUCACUCAAAGCACACAAAGCAGCUCAGUGCAUUCAACAAGCUCAGUUUCGCCCCCAAUGCAAUGGCAUAAUAGACUUGGAUAUUAAAUUUUAAAGAUUUACAACAGCUGAACGAUUAGCAGCUAGUGCAUGGUAUUAAUGUUGAUAACAUGCAAGUGCAAAUAAAUUGUGUUACUUGUAACCAGUUUAAAUUGAGUGCAUUGCGGUUUAAUCAAAAAAUUAUCGAAGUACAGAGCAUAUGCUAGAAUUAGUGCACACACAUGUAUGUGGACCGAUGAAUAUCAGAUCAAUCGGUGGCAAUAUUUUGUAACAUUUAUUGACGCUUACUCGCCCAAAAUAUUUGUCUUUAAAUUGAACGCGAAAAACCAAGUUUUUGAAAAAUGCAAGAUGUUUAAAAGGAUUGCGGAAUGCCAAACAGGCUUUAGGCAGCGAUAAUGACAACAAGGAGUUUACAGAUUUUUUUAAGGUGAAUACACCUUAGCAAAACAGCGUUGCACAGCGUUCCAACCGGACCAUAGUAUAAAUGGCAAACAGUCUACUUACACAUGAAAAGCUUGGUGUGUUUUGUGGGCAGAGGCUGUUACAACUGCUGUGUAUUUGCGUAACAGAUGUCCCACAAAGGCGUUGAAUGCAGGCACGCCCUUCGAAAUGUGCAAUAAUCGGAAGUCUUCUGUAAAGUGUUCGGAUGACGUGGGUUUGCCCUGGACUAAGACUAAGAGAAUUCUGGGCAAAAAUAAAGGAGUAUAAAUAUGUACUCAAACACCGCAAAGUCUGUACGAUACGGAGAAGCGGAUAGUUAUUGAAAGGAAUAAAACACUUCCAUUGGAUUCGGCAAAUACAAAACCGAUGUAUACAAACGCUAAACCGGUAGAAGAAACAUUUAGCUAUAUUGCCGUCUACGUCCACGACUUAAUCAUCGCGUGUCCAAACAAAGAAGACAGCAAUGAUUAAGAAGCUUGCAUCGAAGUUCACGAUGCACGAUGGAGGCCCCAUAGGCAAUUUCCUACGGAAAUUGAGAAGGACGGUGAACUAAGUUCAAUUUCGCAAUGCAAGAAAUCACCCAUCCAUAGAUUGUUAGAAACAUACGGCAUUAUCUAAUGUCGGCAAGUCAGCACACCACUUAAUCCUUUUCAAGUUGAAUGCAGCAACGAUAAAUGCAAAAGGUAAAUUAAACCCAAUAUCAGUGGCUACGCGUUCUUCCUAGCUGGCAGUGUAUUCUCCUGAACGUCAAAAAAGUAGAGUGUCGUUUCGUUAGGCAGCACAGACGCAGCAUACACUGCGUUAAAGAUGGCUGCAAAGAAAACACUUGGAAAGAUUUUUGAAUGAGAUCGGUUGGUCAACAGAUGUAAAGCCAAUAAUGAUUCGCGGUGACAAUAUCAGCUCGUACCACAUUGCGCAAAAUCCAGUGCAUCACAAACACAUUGCUUGUGAAAAUAUAGAAUCUAAAGAAAUAGAGCUUACAUAUGUAAAUACAAACUGUAACGUAGCUAAUAUUCUGACCAAAUGUAUACACAAGUCCAAGCAUAACUUUUUUGUUGAUUGGAGUGUUCGUACGAAAAUUUUGUUCGCCGUUUCUGUUUGCAUAAAAAUACAAAUGUUUCUAUCUUACGGGUGUUCGUGCGAACAUGUUCGACAAUGGAUUCGAGUGUUCGCACGAACAUCAUUUCUAGAAAUAUUUCGUACAGUCAACAUGAACCGAAAAUUUCUUGAUUGUUUUCAAAAUGAGCCGGCUUUGUGGCAAAAUAAAAGCGAAAACUAUCAAAAUAAAAAGUUGCGCAACAAAUCAUGGGACAAAUUAUAAUUAAAAUAUAAAGUUGUCGAAGAAAACGCCACAUUAAAAAAUUGUCUGCACGCUGCAUACAGGCGGGAACUGGAAAAAAAAGAGGCGCAAAGUCAGUCGGUCUUUUGUUUUAAAUAAACAUUCAUUGCCAUUAAGCACGAUUUUGUUUUCUUCCGCUGGCAUGUUCACAGUCCGAAAUUUGUUUUAAAAUGAUGUUCGCAAACAUGUUCGUGAAAAUGAUCGCAUAGUUAGUAGGCAAACUCGGCGAACAUGUUUGUGUAACAAAUUCGUCUGUGGACUGACAUUUCACACAGUUUAUACUUUACUCUCUAUUAAACCUUUAAUCGAACCAAAUUAUUUAUUCGAAAUUCUUAUGUCAAGAAACAGAAUGAUUAUCACACAUCUGGAGGACUUACUUCUUACAGUUACAUUAGCUAAAGCAAUUUUAAUCAGCUCACUUAUUUUGGAUAGCAUUGAUAUAAAAGAAUUGGCAAAAGAGCACACCACAAAUAUAAAUAUAGCAGAUAUCUUGAGAGUAUCUAAUAUUAAGGCUUUCCAAAAUACCGAAAUGUUGUAUUUCCUCAUCAAAUACCUUAAACCUGUAUUAGUUUGUAAGAAAAUCAUUAUUUACCCUGUACAACAUAAUAAUAUAAUACAAGACUUUGGGGAUAACAGCAUACUAGCCGGUUGCUCAUCGCCGUUCAUCGAAGCGACACUGCUGUGAGCACUACGUUCUGCAAGAGACUUCAAGGGACAACCUGUGCGCAGCAACUAAUAUCUGGUCGACUCGGUCAUCUGUCACCAACAACAUUAAUCGAGAAGGACGUCAUAGUCAUCAACGACGCCACCAUGGAAGUUGAGGACAAGGUCGUAAUAGCCGGUGAAUGACUGGAAAAUAUGAACGACAACGGCGGGAUAAGCGGAUUGUCAUAUAAGUUUGUAUGGGGACCAACCAAGACAUCGAAUUUUCGGCAACAUAACCGGUUGAACGCUUUAAGCGGAGUCGUUAUUACCGGAUUUCACUGACCCGCCCAUUGGCGUGACAAACCGGAGAAUAGACUUGCGAGGUCCCGGAAAUCAUGUUAGUUGAAGAGCUAGGAAGCUGAAAUUUGAAUGGAUUCUCGCGUUGACCACCAUCAAAAAGAUAUAUCGGAUGUACCUACACCUAAUUGGGGCGUGGAUGGAAAACGUUGCGAUUACGUCUAAUUUUGCUAUAUUUUUAGCUCUAUUAGUGCUAGGGACUCCAAAUUUUGAAUAUGUACUGGGGUUGAGCUUAAAAUUGUGGUUCAUUGGGGCGUGGUAAAUCGGGAAAACUGUAUUUUCUACGGACUUACAGCUAGAAGCUCAAAAUUUACCGACUGUUAGCACCCACUAUUGAUUUGCACAAAUAUACUAAAUAUAUAUACAAAAUGGGGGGACGUGACAGAUGGACCGUAUCAUGCAGUCGAUAACGCCGGACUGCAACGUUAAUACUUAUAUAGUUUUGAAGGCAACAUACAAAUUGAUUAACUUUGUAUAUUUCAUGUACACAUGACUGGUAAUUUAUGCACAUUUUCGAAUAUUUAAGGAAACAAGCCUAAACAUGAAGAAUAAGUCGGCAGUUUUAAGAACAUAUUGUAUUUUAAGAUUUAAUCAUUGACGAGAAAUAAUACCAGUACCUGCGAAUAUAUUUAUAAAAUAAACCAUAAAAUCUC